rnacentral:rRNA from 1 species
AUGAACGCUGGCGGCAGGCCUAACACAUGCAAGUCGAGCGAGCAUUUCGGUGCUAGCGGCGGACGGGUGAGUAACGCGUGGGAACGUGCCCUUUUCCGCGGAAUAGUCCUGGGAAACUGGGGGUAAUACCGCAUACGCCCUUUUGGGGAAAGAUUUAUCGGAGAAGGAUCGGCCCGCGUUGGAUUAGGUAGUUGGUGGGGUAAUGGCCCACCAAGCCGACGAUCCAUAGCUGGUUUGAGAGGAUGAUCAGCCACACUGGGACUGAGACACGGCCCAGACUCCUACGGGAGGCAGCAGUGGGGAAUCUUAGACAAUGGGGGCAACCCUGAUCUAGCCAUGCCGCGUGAGUGAUGAAGGCCUUAGGGUUGUAAAGCUCUUUCAGCUGGGAAGAUAAUGACGGUACCAGCAGAAGAAGCCCCGGCUAACUCCGUG